GGGGGGGGGGGGGGGGGGGGGGGGGGCGGGGGGGUGGGGGGGAGGGGCGGGGGGCUGGCUGGUCUGAUGUUAGCGGCGGACGGGUGAGUAACACGUGGAUAACCUACCUAUAAGACUGGGAUAACUUCGGGAAACCGGAGCUAAUACCGGAUAAUAUUUUGAACCGCAUGGUUCAAAAGUGAAAGACGGUCUUGCUGUCACUUAUAGAUGGAUCCGCGCUGCAUUAGCUAGUUGGUAAGGUAACGGCUUACCAAGGCAACGAUGCAUAGCCGACCUGAGAGGGUGAUCGGCCACACUGGAACUGAGACACGGUCCAGACUCCUACGGGAGGCAGCAGUAGGGAAUCUUCCGCAAUGGGCGAAAGCCUGACGGAGCAACGCCGCGUGAGUGAUGAAGGUCUUCGGAUCGUAAAACUCUGUUAUUAGGGAAGAACAUAUGUGUAAGUAACUGUGCACAUCUUGACGGUACCUAAUCAGAAAGCCACGGCUAACUACGUG
rnacentral:rRNA from 1 species